UACGUAGGGUGCGAGCGUUGUCCGGAAUUAUUGGGCGUAAAGAGCUCGUAGGCGGUGUGUCACGUCGGCCGUGAAAACCUGGGGCUUAACUCUGGGCGUGCGGUCGAUACGGGCAUCACUAGAGUUCGGCAGGGGAGACUGGAAUUCCUGGUGUAGCGGUGAAAUGCGCAGAUAUCAGGAGGAACACCGGUGGCGAAGGCGGGUCUCUGGGCAUUACCUGACGCUGAGGAGCGAAAGCUAGGGGAGCGAACGGG
rnacentral:rRNA from 1 species